rnacentral:rRNA from 1 species
CCUACGGGUAGCAGCAGUGAGGAAUAUUGGUCAAUGGACGGAAGUCUGAACCAGCCACGCCGCGUGCAGGAAGACGGCUCUAUGAGUUUUAAACUGCUUUUGUACAGGGGAAAACCUGACUAUGUGCAUUCAGCUGACAGUACUGUACGAAUAAGGAUCGGCCAACUUCGUGCCAGCAGCCGCGGCAAUACGUAGGAUACAAGCGUUAUCCGGAUUUAUUGGGUUUAAAGGGAGCGUAGGCGGAUUGAUAAGUUAGAGGUGAAAUGUCCGAGCUUAACUCGGGAUCUGCUUCUAAUACUGUUGAUCUAGAGAGUAGGUGCGGUAGGCGGAAUUUAUGGUGGAGCGGUGAAAUGCUUAGAGAUAAUGCAGAACACCAGUUGCGAAGGCAGCUUACCAGUCUAUAUCUGACGUUGAGGCACGAAAGCGUGGGGAGCAAACAGGAUUAGAUACCCUGGUAGUC